AACGAACGCUGGCGGCAGGCCUAACACAUGCAAGUCGAGCGGACCCUUCGGGGUUAGCGGCGGACGGGUGAGUAACGCGUGGGAAUAUGCCCUUCUCUACGGAAUAGUCCUGGGAAACUGGGGGUAAUACCGUAUAGGCCCUUUGGGGGAAAGAUUUAUCGGGGAAGGAUUAGCCCGCGUUGGAUUAGGUAGUUGGUGGGGUAAUGGCCUACCAAGCCGACGAUCCAUAGCUGGUUUGAGAGGAUGAUCAGCCACACUGGGACUGAGACACGGCCCAGACUCCUACGGGAGGCAGCAGUGGGGAAUCUUAGACAAUGGGGGCAACCCUGAUCUAGCCAUGCCGCGUGAGUGAUGAAGGCCUUAGGGUUGUAAAGCUCUUUCAGCUGGGAAGAUAAUGACGGUACCAGCAGAAGAAGCCCCGGCUAACUCCGUG
rnacentral:rRNA from 1 species